AUCGUUACCGAGAAUGGUGAUAGGUAUUGAAAUGUACUGAUACUGCGGCAUUUUCCAUUAUGAAAGUUAAGUCAAAAAGAUUUUGUUUCGUUACGAGACUGUAUGGUUGCUGAAUGUAAAAUGUUUACAUGUUUAUUUACAGGAAAUCUAGCCUGUAAUUUCCUAUCUGUCAAAUCACCUUAUCAGUUAUCACAUGGCCUGAAACUGAUGUUGCUUGCUACUUGUACCGGUUGUAUGUUAAUGUAUCAACCAGUGAAGAAACACUUGACAGCAAAAGUGUGUAAAAUUGUGUCCACCAGAUGGUGGAGUGUGUGUUCGUGAGUGACGAAGCCGCCAUUUGCUGUUGAGACAGUGUACGGGAAUGUGUUGCUGCUUAAUGACGGUGUUCUUCGCUUUUACAUUAAAAAAAAAAUGUUUCCCCGCCAUUCGACCAAGCUGAAUCGAAAGUGAACAAUUCAGCCAAUUCUACAGCAAUUUGAGCCUUUUUCCACGUGAUCGCUGUCGUGUGAUGAAGAUGCGUCUCUGAGAGGAUCUCUACUAUACUGCAAGACAAAAAUGUGAUGAAACCAGGAAAUCUGAAAUGCCAGUUGGCGGAAGUUGUGAAGAAUUUAGCUGUUGCAAUCAGUUUAUGACUGAGGCAUCCCAUGCAGAAACCAGAAAUGAUAAGCAUGGCGGAGAUCUUGCCUUUCUCAACGUGCGGUGCCGUGUCAACAAGAUGUCUCUUUGAUGAGGUCUCUACUAUGUUGGAGAACAAAAAUGUGAAGAAAACAGGAAAUCUGAAAUGGUUUCCAUGGUCAGUUUGAUGUUUGAGCUGUUUAUGGUGUUGCUGUUUGGUGUGAAGUGGGUUUACAGUCAUUUUCCACCCGAGAGAUGCGCUGAAAUGGAGCUUCGUCAGACUUGCAGUUCAACAUCAUACUCAAUGUGUUAUUUCCCUAUGUUUGUGUCCGUGAGUGUUGAGGCUGUUGGGCUAAACAGUUAACCUCUUUUUUUUUGUGUUGGUGAGUGUUACGGAAGCUGCAUCAUUGUUUUGUUGAAUUGUCAUUGUGUCUGCAGUUUACCGUUUAUAUGUUAGGAAGAGAAAAAACAGAAUCUUGGGGAAUUUAUAUCAAACAAAUAAUAAACAAGGUUUCGGGAUUGGGAAAGGAAUGUGGAGGUUGUCAGGUGGGAGGGUGAUGACUUGAAUUUUCAUAUCUCAAUAUAUAAUGAGGUAUGUUAAUAUGUACUGACGCGAUACAUGUGGAUAAAAACUUAA
rnacentral:lncRNA from 1 species